rnacentral:lncRNA from 1 species
AGUCCGGCGAGGUCGCUGGUCCGGGCAGAAUCCAGGGCGAUGGAAUGGUCUGGGCUGUGUCUCCCACAUGAAGGGGACGCCCGGACUUGAAGAGCCAAUGUAGGGCGAGGCUCCUGCCAAGGGCCGGGGAGGGAGAUGAAGAAGAGCAGGCGCCAGCCUUGGAGCCGUAGCGCUAACCGUGAGAGGGAAGCCUAAGGAGCGCGCGACCUGAGGCGGUGGCAGCACCCUCC